rnacentral:rRNA from 1 species
GGAAUCAUUGGGUUUAAAGGGUCCGUAGGCGGCUUAUAAGUCAGUGGUGAAAGCCCAUCGCUUAACGAUGGAACGGCCAUUGAUACUGUAGGGCUUGAAUUACUUGGAAGUAACUAGAAUAUGUAGUGUAGCGGUGAAAUGCUUAGAUAUUACAUGGAAUACCAAUUGCGAAGGCAGGUUACUACAAGUUUAUUGACGCUGAUGGACGAAAGCGUGGGGAGCGAACAGGAUUGGAUACCCUGGUAGUCCACGCCGUAAACGAUGGAUACUAGCCGUUUGGAGCAAUCUGAGUGGCUAAGCGAAAGUGAUAGGUAUCCCACCUGGGGAGUACGCACGCAGGUGUGAAACUCAAAGGAAUUGACGGGGGCCCGCACAAGCGGAGGAGCAUGUGGUUUAAUUCGAUGAUACGCGAGGAACCUUACCAGGGCUUAAAUGGGAGACGACAGGACUGGAAACAGUUUUUUCUUCGGACGUCUUACAAGGUGCUGCAUGGUUGUCGUCAGCUCGUGCCGUGAGGUGUCAGGUUAAGUCCUAUAACGAGCGCAACCCCUAUUGUUAGUUGCCAUCGGGUCAUGCCGGGAACUCCAACAAGACUGCCGGUGCAAACCGUGAGGAAGGUGGGGAUGACGUCAAAUCAUCACGGCCCUUACGUCCUGGGCUACACACGUGCUACAAUGGACGGUACAGAGAGCAGCCACUGCGCGAGCAGGAGCGAAUCUUCAAAGCCGUUCUCAGUUCGGAUCGGAGUCUGCAACUCGACUCCGUGAAGCUGGAUUCGCUAGUAAUCGCAUAUCAGCCAUGAUGCGGUGAAUACGUUCCCGGGCCUUGUACACACCGCCCGUCAAGCCAUGGAAGCUGGGGGUACCUGAAGUCGGUGACCGCAAGGAGCUGCCUAGGGUAAAACUAGUAACUGGGGCUAAGUCGUAACAAGGUAACCAA